rnacentral:rRNA from 1 species
UGGGGAAUUUUGGACAAUGGGCGCAAGCCUGAUCCAGCCAUUCCGCGUGCAGGACGAAGGCCUUCGGGUUGUAAACUGCUUUUGUACGGAACGAAAAAGCUCUUGUUAAUACCAGGAGUCCAUGACGGUACCGUAAGAAUAAGCACCGGCUAACUACGUG